UAACCAGGACAUGCCCUGAGCUGUGUUGUCUCGGGGUGUGCUCCAGAGAUACAGAAACAGAUCACUAACUCGCGUUUUUUAUUAAAACCAAUUAAUUGUGAAAUGCAUAUCGAUCGUUAAGAGUUUGUAUAAUUUAGAAAAGUAUAGUCAAGACGAUAAAAAGCACCCAUAAUUCUCCCAUCCGGAAAUAAUGAUCAGUGUUAACAUUUUUUUUUCCUUGCAGAGCCACCCAAGAAUGCACUGGUAUUAAUAUUUAAUACUCUUUCCAAUCUGUUUUUUUUCCUCUCUCUCUCUCAGAUUGUGAACAACUUUUUAUGGACUUUUAUUCCCUGUUCUUUUCAACUCAUUAUGACAUUGUGGGCAUUCACCCAUAUUGUGGAAUAUUUUUCAGAAAGCCUUCUUAAUGGCUGCAUAAUAUUCCACCAGAUGUGUGUAUCGUAAUUUGUUAACAAAUCCCCUAUUUUGGGACAUGUAGGUGAUUUUGUAAAUUUUUACUAUCAAAUAAGGCUGCAGUGGAUAUUCUCUUAAAUUUAUCUUUAGCUGCACUUUCCAUGAUGAGAAUAUCUUAGAAAUGAGAUUUCCAGGCCAAGAUAAUGCCAAAUGGCUUUACAGGAAAGUGGGAAAGUGUACCACUUCACCACCAGCGCACCCUUCUUCCAGCAUCUGCGGUGCUUGUCGAGCCCUGUCUUAUGUUUAUAGGCUUUUCCAGCCGGCUUGCCUACCCACCCUUCAAAUCCCACCCUUGCACUAAUGUUGCAAUCCGCAUACCUGAGAGGUUUCCUCCUUAUCUCUGAAUUAUGCCAUUUCUCUCUCUUCCUCUCCUUUUUUUUGGUUUUGCUCAGUGCUGUGGCCUUGCUGGUGGGAGAGAAGGUACAAGAGGAGACCACUCUAGUGGUAAGUUAUGGCGUCUUCCCUGGGUAGUUAUGGCAGCCCUCCCUGCAGUGCUCUUCAGUGAGUGAGCGUGCUUUACAAAAAAAAAAAAAUUCCACUACCAUUUAUUUAGAUGCUUCCUCUUAACUGUGUUUGCUUUCCGCAGGAUGAUCCCUUUCAGAUGAAGACAGGGGGUAUGGUGGAUAUGAAGAAACUGAAGGAAAGGGGCAAAGAUAAGAUCAGUGAGGAGGAGGACCUGCACCUGGGGACAUCGUUUUCUGCAGAAACCAAUCGAAGGGAUGAGGAUGCAGACAUGAUGAAGUACAUUGAGACAGAGCUAAAGAAGAGGAAAGGGAUCGUGGAACAUGAGGAACAGAAAGUUAAGCCAAAGAAUGCAGAGGACUGUCUUUAUGAACUUCCAGAAAACAUCCGUGUUUCCUCAGCAAAGAAGACCGAGGAGAUGCUUUCCAACCAGAUGCUGAGUGGCAUUCCUGAGGUGGACCUGGGCAUCGAUGCUAAAAUAAAAAAUAUCAUUUCCACGGAGGAUGCCAAGGCCCGUCUGCUGGCAGAGCAGCAGAACAAGAAGAAAGACAGCGAGACCUCCUUCGUGCCUACCAACAUGGCUGUGAAUUACGUACAGCACAACAGAUUUUAUCAUGAGGAGCUCAACGCGCCCAUACGGAGAAACAAAGAAGAGCCCAAGGCCCGGCCCUUGAGAGUAGGCGACACAGAGAAGCCAGAGCCUGAGCGUGAGUGCAACAAAGGCCUUGGGGCUGCCUGGAGUGCUCAGCAAUGCGGGAACCCAUGGAGGCAGGAUGCAGCGGGGGACAGGGUGGAGCUUGGCAUUGGAGCCGGGGCAUCUGGGUUCCAGUCCAUGUUCUGGACCAUGACUGUGUGCCUUCCCCUUUCUAAGCCUCAGUUUCCUCAUUGGAAUCCUAAUAGAAACUACCUGUUAGGAUUGCUCUGAGAAUUCAUACUCUCAUAUUCUCAAGCACAGUAGAGACUCAAGAAGUUAGAAAAUUUCAGUAAGGACAAAUAAAAGCUACUCAUAAGGUUAGCUGGGUGCAGUGCCUCACACUUGUAGUCUCAGCUGCUGGGGAAGCUGGGGCAGGAGGAUUGCUUGAGACAAAAGAGUUCAGGGCUGCAGUGAGCUAUGAUUGGACCACUGCACUCUAGCCUGCGUGACAGAGUGAGACCACAUCUUUUUUUUGAAGAAAAGAAAAAGGUAUUGGCCAUGCUCGGUGGCCCAUGCCUGUAAUCCCAGCACUUUGGGAGGCUGAGGCAGGCAGAUCACCUAAGGUCAGGAGUUCAAGACCAGCCUGGCCAACAUGGUGAACCCCGUCUCUACUAAAAAUACAAAAAUUAGCCAGGCGAGGUGGCAGGUGCCUGUAAUCCCAGCUACUCAGGAGGCUGAGGCAGGAGAAUCGCUUGAACCCGGGAGUUGGAGGUUGCAGUGAGCUGAGAUCAUGCCAUUACACUCUAGCCUGGGCAACAGGGUGAGACUCUGUCUCAAAAAAAAGAAAAG
rnacentral:sRNA from 1 species